rnacentral:rRNA from 1 species
GACGAACGCUGGCGGCGUGCCUAAUACAUGCAAGUCGAACGCAGUGGGGACGGGUGAGUAAAAUGUGGGUAACCUCCCAUCAGAGGGGAUAAACGUUGGAAACAGGUGCUAAACUGACACUGAUGUAUGGACCCGCGGUGCAUUAGCUAGUGGGUGAGGUAACGGCUCACCAAGGCCACGAUUCAGAGCCGACCUGAGAGUGUGAUCGGCCACACUGUGACUGAGACACGGCCCAGACUCCUACGGGAGGCAGCAUGAGGGAAUCUUCGGCAAUGGACGCAAGUCUGACCGAGCAACGCCGCGUGAGUGAAGAAGGUUUUCGGAUCGUAAAACUCUGUUGUUAGAGAAGCGGUAUCUAACCAGAAAGCCACGGCUAACUACGUGCCAGCAGCCGCGGUAAUUC